GGACAAAGGAGCAAUCUUCUUUCACUAUAAACGUCGAUACGCCUGUCCCUCGUCGUUCGCUCGCCGACUGGAGCGAGAUGGAGGGGAAGGGAUCGGAUUCGCUGUCGCCUAGCGAUUGGGCCUCGAGGGCGCUGCCGUCGUCGUCUCCUCCCGCAAGCAGAGGAACGUCGAUGAGGCGGUGGAGAAGCUGAUGUCGAAGGGAAUCGAGGUGAUGGGGGUGGUCUGCCACGUUUCGAAUCCCCAUCACCGGCACGAUCUCAUCGAGAAGACCGUCCAGAAUAUGCUUUGGAGUGUAGCAUCCUGAUGCACCCAGGAGGCGAGAGGAAUCCAGCAGAUGGAGGCCAAGAUCAAAUCAAAUUGGACAAAAGAAGAGGGUGGUGUUUGUCAAGUCAAUGCCUGGUUUUGUAUCAUUAGAAAUAUGGUCACAUAGGCAUAGUUGUGUCGAAUGCUGCUGCUAAUCCAUCAGUGGAUAACAUUCUGGAUACCAGAGCGUCAGUGCUUGAUAAACUUUGGGAGAUCAGUGUUAUCUUCCGCAGUCAUCCAUGGCCAUGUAUGGUGUCACAAAGACUGCUCUUCUCGAGCUUACUAAGGCUCUUGCUGCUGAGAUGAGUGAACUGUAUAGCUCCUGGAUUUGUGCCCACACAUUUUGCUGAUUUUAUCACGAAAAUGAUGCCAUCAGAAAAACCAGAGAGGAGAAGACUUUGCUUAAGAGGCCCGGGUCUACGGAAGACAUGGCUUCUGCCGCAGCCUUUCUGGCAUCUGAUGAUUCAUCCAACAUUCCUGGAGAAACACUUGUGGUUGCCGGAGGGAUGCCUUCCAGGCUAUAAUCCAUUCCCAGACUUCACCCUGUGAUGAUCAUUUGUUGCUGCUGCCAACACAUGCCGAGUCUCAAGAACAUCAUUUUGUAGGCAGAGCAGAGUUAGACAAGCUGUAAUAAAUCAUUCAACCAUCUGAAGUUGGAGAUAUUGAAUUUAUUUUGUGCCUGCUUAGUGAAAUUGAGUUGUGUUUACCAUCAAAUGCUGUGGUCAAACAUAACUGUAACCUUUUUUUGGGAAAAAAACGUCGAAGCCAAUAGCUUCUUAUGAGAAUUCACCUUAUUUUAAUCAUUGA